rnacentral:misc_RNA from 1 species
CUCUUUUUUUUCCCCUCGCCGAAGAUGCCGACCCGCUUCAAGAAGUGCCGCCACCAGCGUGGCUCGACGUUCUGCGGCUACGGUCGCGUAGGCAAGCACCGCAAGCAUGAGUCCGGUCGCGGUAACGCCGGCGGUAUGCACCACCACCGCAUCAACUUCGACAAGUACCACCCCGGGUACUUUGGUAAGCUGGGCAUGGACCACUACCACCGCAAGAAGAACCCGAUGUGGAAGCCGACGAUCAACCUGAACAACUUGUCGCGCCUGAUUGCUGCGGAGGAGGCGGCGAAGGCGACGAAGGGCGGGACUUUGCCUGUGGUGGACCUGCAGUCGAGCGGGUACGCGAAGCUGCUGGGCAACGGCCACAUCCAGGUGCCGUGCAUCGUGAAGGCGCGCUACGUGAGCAAGCUGGCCGACAAGAAGAUACGCAAGGCUGGCGGCGCUGUGGUUCUCCAGGCGUGAGUGCGGGGGAGGAGCGUUGUUUCUCUUUUCUUUCUUUGCGUCCUCUGACUUUUGUUUGGUCGAGCCCCCGCCCCCUCUCUGGAGCCGCUUUUUCUUGCGUUUUCUCUUCCUCUGCCGUCGGCCCCUCUCUUUUCGAUGUGUGAAUGCCUGAAGUGGAUUCACCAAAGAAAACCCCGCCGAGUCUUCCAUGGAGAAGGCGGCGGAGAACCAGGGCACAUCCCAUCCCUUUUUUCCCGCGCCAGCACACCUUCUCGCAGUGACGGUCUUGUGCCCCAUUUGGUGUGCGGGCAAGGGGUAGGAGGGACUGAGGCAGGGAGGGACACGCGGAAAAUAAGGGCGUGCGUGAAAGUUAGCGCGUGAUGUGAUGAGAGGGGCGGUGACUUUUGCAACAGACAACCAAAACAACAACACGCACACGCACGCACAAAAUAGGCAGCUCAUUCAUGCAUGAGGGGGGGGGAUCAAAUGCGGGAAGCAGACCCGUUUCGCAUUGAUUGCAGCGCCCACAGAGCUGUUCGAGGCUGGUUUUGAGCUGGUCUUGCGCGUGCGGCGCACUGGAUGCGAGGUUGCACCCACAACCGCUGCACUUGGUGCUUUUCGUGGGGCCAACCAGCUACUCCCGAACCGUCGAAGAGGUGACGGAUCGCGGUGUCUUGCCUUCGCGAUGCCGCCCCUUUUUGGCUUUCUCUGUGUGCUGCCACUUGCAUCAAAGCGGCAGUAGCGUUGAUACCGAAGUCGCGGGGGGGGGAGACGAGUGUGAAGCCAAUGUGUCUCCCCUCCUCGGCCGUCGUUCGUGAGGCUGCGACAUUCUGCUCUGCGCCGCGCGCACUUGCUCACCCUCCUCUCCCUUUUCCCAUUGCCUCUGUCUUUUUCUGUUUCGGCGUUGUUUGUUUCUUGGC